ACGUAUGGUGCAAGCGUUAUCCGGAUUUACUGGGUAUAAAGGGAGCGCAGGCGGUACGGCAAGUCUGAUGUGAAAGCCCGGGGCUCAACCCCGGUACUGCAUUGGAAACUGUCGGACUAGAGUGUCGGAGGGGUAAGUGGAAUUCCUAGUGUAGCGGUGAAAUGCGUAGAUAUUAGGAGGAACACCAGUGGCGAAGGCGGCUUACUGGACGAUUACUGACGCUGAGGCUCGAAAGCGUGGGGAGCAAACAG
rnacentral:rRNA from 1 species